rnacentral:rRNA from 1 species
AUUGAACGCUGGCGGCAUGCUUUACACAUGCAAGUCGAACGGCAGCGCGGACUUCGGUCUGGCGGCGAGUGGCGAACGGGUGAGUAAUAUAUCGGAACGUACCCAGGGGUGGGGGAUAACGUAGCGAAAGUUACGCUAAUACCGCAUACGCUCUAUGGAGGAAAGCAGGGGAUCGCAAGACCUUGCGCGCUUGGAGCGGCCGAUAUCUGAUUAGCUAGUUGGUGGGGUAAAGGCUCACCAAGACAACGAUCAGUAGCUGGUCUGAGAGGACGACCAGCCACACUGGGACUGAGACACGGCCCAGACUCCUACGGGAGGCAGCAGUGGGGAACUUUGGACAAUGGGGGCAACCCUGAUCCAGCAAUGCCGCGUGAGUGAAGAAGGCCUUCGGGUUGUAAAGCUCUUUUGUCAGGGAAGAAACGGUUUUGGCAAAUAUCCAGAGCUAAUGACGGUACCUGAAGAAUAAGCACCGGCUAACUACGUGCCAGCCGCCGCAGUAAUAC